CAUCUAUUUUGCAAAGUGAGAUAAAGUAGUCUACAGAUGUUGGAAAUGCAAAGUAUUCAUUUGGACAGACGAGGGUUGCCAUCUUGAUUUGUUAAAAUACUGUGCCUUCCCAAUCAGUCUUUGGAAGAAGAAAGCCUGAUUUUGAAAAUUGAGUGUGAACACUUGUGAAGGUUUUGAAUUGUUCUUCUCUACUUUCCAAGUCAAUUCCUCCUCAUUUCCCACUUUUUCUCUAUUCUGCCUUUUUUCUGCUGCUCUUCCAUAUUAUCUAUAAAAUAUCUCUGAUCUGAUCUAAUCUGAAGCUCCCUCUGCUCCAGUGAAGGGGAGGUGGUGGGAUUCAAGCAUCCCUCCUCUGAGGAGUCCUUAUAGGGUGACACGUUGGAGAGAAAGCCUGGCUCCUUCCUUUGCAGAGGGAGCCUGCAGCAAACAAGUGGAGGGCUGCUGCUCGUUCACUUCCUGCCCACUGUGGGGUCUUGGAGCUCAUGCAAUUAAUGUUUCACAGGCCAGCUCCAGGCAGAGAUGGAUAACAGGAGUUUGCACAGAUUCUCUGCAGGGCCCUUAACAUGAUAAAUCUCACGGAGAGCUCUCAAGAGGGACCUAAACGAAAGGUCAAAUGUGUUUCAUUUUGAUGUUUGGGACUGGAGCAAGGAAAGCUGAGCCAGAAAAAGCACAGGACAAACAGUCUCUUCUUGUCAGCAUUUCCCGGCCUCCCUUCCUCAGCCCUCACAAAAUCCUCUUCCUGACUUGCCCUUGACUAAAUCCCCUUGGCCCAGGACUCAUCUCCUUCUGGAACGACAUCUAAUGAUGAAUGGAAAGCUACAUCCUUCUCCCCCACCACACACACUCAGUUAUUGCCAAGUAAUGAAAAAAAAAAAAUCCUUUGAGCUGGACAAAUUAGAUAAAAACUCCAGGCCCAAGCUCUGGGUUAGAAGUCAGGUGCAGGCUUCUCCCCUUAGCCCAGAACACCACACUCACUCGUGGGUCUGCAUCCUAAGAGGCUGGCCCGUCACCUGGGUUGGAGGCACAGUGUGGCAGCUAACAUGCCCCAGGGCAGUCAGACGAAGUGGCCUGGCCAUGCCCAGUGUGCUAAAGGCUGGUUCCUGUAUGGUCAGCCCUUCUGAGGCUGCUGCCCAUUGCAGAGCAAAUGCUGGGGGCACGCUGACCCCCUCAUUAUUACAGAGACAAAGGGCGGUUGCGGGUGGGAAACUGGAGUGCUUGCAAGUCCCUUCACUGGCGAUGAUGGCUUCUUUAGGAUGGACCUCUUUUUAUGCCUAUUUCCCCCCCACCGCUGUUUCCUCUAGGAAACCCUGUUUUCUUUCUAUGAUAUAAUUACUACCUUUUGGGAGACAGAUGUCUUCUAAAGGCUUCGAGUGAGACUAAUGACAAGCAAUCCUGAGGUGCAGCUGAGCUAAAGCCAAAUGACCUGGCGGGAAUGCAUGUCCUUCCGCCCGACCUAGCUGCAUCCGAGGCACCGGGGACCCGUGGUCUUGCACGUCAGUGCCUUCUGCCUGGACUGCUUCUCCCUGGCUCUUCUCCCCGCUGGAUAUGUCUCUUUCUUCAG
rnacentral:lncRNA from 1 species